UACGGGGGGGGCAAGCGUUGUUCGGAAUUACUGGGCGUAAAGGGCUCGUAGGCGGCCAACUAAGUCAGACGUGAAAUCCCUCGGCUUAACCGGGGAACUGCGUCUGAUACUGGAUGGCUUGAGGUUGGGAGAGGGAUGCGGAAUUCCAGGUGUAGCGGUGAAAUGCGUAGAUAUCUGGAGGAACACCGGUGGCGAAGGCGACAUCCUGGACCAACACUGACGCUGAGGAGCGAAAGCCAGGGGAGCAAACGGG
rnacentral:rRNA from 1 species